rnacentral:lncRNA from 1 species
CAGGCCCAGGCCUAAGCCGAGUUCUCAGCACAGUUAACCAGAGUCCUGGAUGACAGUUGCAGAUUGCCCAGGUUGACAGAGUACUUUUUAUCACAUGCUAAGGUCACUUAUGAAGAUUCUGGAGGGGAAAUUGGCUGAGUUGGACUCAUUAUGGGACAAGACAGUCCGUCACGUGGCCCCUUCCCAGGGAUUUUGAAGAGCGGUUUUAACCAUGAACAACUUUCCCCUUAACUGCUAGCUUGAGUGCCUGCUUUCCACUUCCAGCUUAGCCUUUGUGCCCACUCUGCGCAUCAGAGCCCUGGAGAGGAGAAGAAGGGAGGAGCAUCCCACACCCCUAAACGAAACAGCAAAGUGCAGACCAUGGAAGCUGGAGGGAACAGGAAACCAUCCAGCACAACCUCUCAUCCAACAUAGCUCCCCUCUUUCCAGCAUCUUCAGUGGCUGGUCAACUCACAUCCAUUCAGAUACCUCUAAGGAUGGUGAACUCAUUUCCUCCCUCUAGCUCACCCACCUCAUGGCGAGAAAUGCUUCCUUCUAAGAAAUCCAGACCUGAC